CAGCAGCCGCGGUAAUACCGGCGGCCCGAGUGGCGGUCACUAUUAUUGGGCUUAAAGCGUCCGUAGCCGGGUUGGUUAGUCUCCCGGGAAAUCUGGCCGCUUAACGGUCAGAAUUCCGGGAGAUACUGCCAGCCUAGGGACCGGGAGAGGCCGAGGGGAUUCCCGGAGGAGGGGGGAAAUCCUAUAAUCCCGGGAGGACCACCUGUGGCGAAGGCGCUCGGCUGGAACGGGUCCGACGGUGAGGGACGAAGGCCAGGGGAGCAAACCGGAUUAGAUACCCGGGUAGUCCUGGCUGUAAACGAUGCGGACUUUGUGUCGGACAAGCUAUGAGCUUGUCCGGUGCCGGAGGGAAACCGUUAAGUCCGCCGCCUGGGGAGUACGGCCGCAAGGCUGAAACUUAAAGGAAUUGGCGGG
rnacentral:rRNA from 1 species